AUGACGACGAUAGGCGGCGGCAGCGAUGAGCGGCGCGAGCAGGGCGGUUGGUUGGUUGGUUUGGGACUUGAGAGAGAUGAGGACUACAUUGGCGAGAUGAAAUGCUUGCAGUGCAUCUGCCUUCAAGGCUGUCAAGAUCUGACAUGUCUUCCCAGGAGCAUUGUGAAUCUAGAGAGGUUGAGGUUUCUCGACCUCUCCGGAGCACAGGUGAUGACAGUACCAAGAGACUUCGGAAGGCUUGUCAAUUUGGUGUCGCUGAAGGGAUUUCCAGCAUAUACUGAUACUGCAAAAAGUUGGUGCACCGUGCAAGAGCUUGGGCCACUUCACCAUCUUAUGCAUCUUACAGUAAGAGGGCCAGAGAAUAUAUCUUCCAGCUCAAUGGAUACAUCUGCGAAUCUUGCUGAGAAGAGGUGUCUUAGGUCAUUGUGGUUAUAUUGCACUAGCAGUCAUGCAUACGAGCAGCACAGGCAAGAGCUCCCAGGGUGGCUGUUGUCAUCAGAUCUCGAGAACUUGAGGCUACUCAAGCUUGAGAACCUCCGCUCAUGCACACAACUCCCAUGUAGUUUUGUGCAGCUUCCCAAUUUGGAGUCGCUGUGCAUUAAACAUGCUCUAUCCAUCAGGCGCAUUGGAGAAGAAUUCCUCGACCUACUGCGACCUUAUAUUGUGUUCCCCAAGCUGAAGAAGCUAGUUUUCUAUGGAAUGCUGCAAUGGAAAGAGUGGGACUGGGAUGUGAAAUUGGAGGCUAUGCGUGCCCUAGAAAGUCUACAAAUCAGCAGGUGCAGAUUGAGCCAUCUCCCUCCUGGCCUUGCAGGUCAGACAAUGGCGUUGAGAGUGAUCAAAAUAGAAAAGGCCAAGGAUCUCAUCUCCGUAGAGAACUUCUGUUCAGUUGUGGAGCUUUAUUUGCAUUCCAACUCCAGUUUAGAGAAGAUUGCCAAUCUUUCUAAUUUGAAAAAACUUAGGGUAUCCAAAUGUCCGAAGCUGCAGGUAUUAGAGGAGGUGAAGGCACUGUCAAGCAUCGAACUGAAAGAUCAUGAAAUGAGAACACUCCCAGAAUAUCUGCAGCAGCGGAGGAAUCAGAAAGUUCGUUGGAGAAUCAAGAGUAAUCGCCGGGGAGUACAUACUGUGGUGGAUCCUGGUCGCCUCAUCCAGAAGCAGCUUCUGAAGUUAUUCACCUCUAAUGUUCUAUGGCAAAUUGGCAAUGCAUUACAUACUGUGUAA
rnacentral:rRNA from 1 species